rnacentral:rRNA from 1 species
AUUGAACGCUGGCGGCAUGCCUUACACAUGCAAGUCGAACGGCAGCACGGGAGCAAUCCUGGUGGCGAGUGGCGAACGGGUGAGUAAUAUAUCGGAACGUGCCCAGUAGUGGGGGAUAACUGCUCGAAAGAGCAGCUAAUACCGCAUACGACCUGAGGGUGAAAGGGGGGGAUCGCAAGACCUCUCGCUAUUGGAGCGGCCGAUAUCAGAUUAGCUAGUUGGUGGGGUAAAGGCCUACCAAGGCAACGAUCUGUAGUUGGUCUGAGAGGACGACCAGGCACACUGGGACUGAGACACGGCCCAGACUCCUACGGGAGGCAGCAGUGGGGAAUUUUGGACAAUGGGCGCAAGCCUGAUCUAGCAAUGCCGCGUGCAGGAAGAAGGCCUUCGGGUUGUAAACUGCUUUUGUCAGGGAAGAAAUCCUCUAGGUUAAUACCCUUGGGGGGAUGACGGUACCUGAAGAAUAAGCACCGGCUAACUACGUGCCAGCAGCCGCGGUAAAAC